rnacentral:rRNA from 1 species
UAAAGAUUUUAAGGGCGUACGGUGGAUGCCUUGGCGAUAUCAGCCGAAGAAGGACGCGGUAAGCUGCGAUAAGCUACGGAGAGGUGCAAGCAACCUUUGACCCGUAGAUUUCCGAAUGGGGGAACCCGGCAGUGGUUAUGCACUGUCACCCAUACCUUUGAGUAUGAGGAGGGCACCUGGGGAACUGAAACAUCUAAUUACCCAGAGGAAGAGUAAUCAAACGAGAUUUUCUUAGUAGCGGCGAGCGAACGGGAAAGAGGCCAAACCGGAGCGGGCAACCGCACCGGGGUUGAGGACAGUCAUCAAGUGUAAAUGAGGUAGAAGAAUCGAGUUGGAAAGCUCAGCCGCAGAAGGUGAAAGCCCUGUAAUCGAAACCUUGCAUACAUGGGACUGUAUCCAGAGUACCACGAGACACGUGAAACCUUGUGGGAAGCAGGGGGGACCACCCUCCAAGCCAAAAUACUGAUAUCGACCGAUAGCGCAUAGUACCGUGAGGGAAAGGUGAAAAGAACCCCUGGCGGGGAGUGAAAGAGAACCUGAAACCGUAUGUCUACAAACAGUCGAAGUCUGUAUAUAUAUCAGGACGACGGCGUGCCUAUUGAAGAAUGAACCGACGAGUUACUGUUGCUAGCGAGGUUAAGUGGAAAACAUGGAGCCGCAGCGAAAGCGAGUCUGAACAGGGCGUUCAGUUAGUAAUAGUAGACCCGAAACCGUAGUGAUCUAUCCAUGGCCAGGUUGAAGCACAGGUAAAAUUGUGUGGAGGACCGAACUCGUGAGCGUUGAAAAGCUUUGGGAUGAGUUGUGGAUAGGGGUGAAAUGCCAAUCGAACACGGAGAUAGCUGGUUCUCCCCGAAAUAGCUUUAGGGCUAGCCUCGAGGUUGAGAGUAUAGGCGGUAGAGCACUGAUCGGGCUAGGGGCCAUACCGGUUACCGAACCUAGUCAAACUACGAAUGGCUAUACUUAUACUCGGGAGUCAGACAGUGAAUGAUAAGGUCCAUUGUCAAGAGGGAAACAGCCCAGAACACCGACUAAGGUCCCAAAUGUUACACUAAGUGGCGAAGGAUGUGGAAUUUCCAAAACAACCAGGAUGUUGGCUUAGAAGCAGCCACCAUUUAAAGAGUGCGUAAUAGCUCACUGGUCGAGAGACUCUGCGCCGAAAAUGUCCGGGGCUAAAGUGUAAAACCGAAGUCGUGUCAUAUGCAGCAAUGUAUAUGGGUAGGGGAGCGUUCUCAUUGGGUUGAAGCAGUACCGUAAGGAGUUGUGGACUGAUGAGAAGUGAGAAUGUCGGUAUGAGUAGCGAAAAGAAUGGUGAGAAUCCAUUCCACCGAAAGCCUAAGGGUUCCUGAGCAACGAUCGUCGUCUCAGGGUAAGUCGGGACCUAAGCCGAGGCGGAAAAGCGUAGGCGAUGGACAACAGGUUGAAAUUCCUGUACCGGUGUGAAUCGUUUGAUCGAUGGAGUGACACAGUAAGGUAGGUCAGCACGCGAUUGGAAGUGCGUGUUUAAGCAUGUAGGUUGAGCUAUAGGCAAAUCCGUAGCUCUAAAAGCUGAGAUGUGAUGACGAGUUACUAGCGAUAGUAACGAAGUGAUUGAUCCUACACUGUCGAGAAAAGCUUCUAGGUAGAGACACAUCGCCCGUACCAAAACCGACACAGGUAGGCGGGGAGAGAAUCCUAAGGUGCGCGGGAAAACCCUCGUUAAGGAACUCGGCAAAAUGCCUCCGUAACUUCGGGAAAAGGAGGACUCAUGUAGUGUGAAGUGCAGCAACGCAUGGAGCAUGAAUGAGUGGCACAAGAGAGGCGCAAGCGACUGUUUACCACAAACACAGGUGCCUGCUAAAGCGAAAGCUGAUGUAUAGGUGCUGACACCUGCCCGGUGCUGGAAGGUUAAGAGGAGGGGUUAGACUUCGGUCGAAGCUCUGAAUUGAAGCCCCAGUAAACGGCGGCCGUAACUAUAACGGUCCUAAGGUAGCGAAAUUCCUUGUCGGGU